GAUGAACGCUGGCGGCGUGCCUAAUACAUGCAAGUCGAGCGAACAGACGAGGAGCUUGCUCCUCUGACGUUAGCGGCGGACGGGUGAGUAACACGUGGAUAACCUACCUAUAAGACUGGGAGAACUUCGGGAAACCGGAGCUAAUACCGGAUAAUAUAUUGAACCGCAUGGUUCAAUAGUGAAAGACGGUUUUGCUGUCACUUAUAGAUGGAUCCGCGCCGCAUUAGCUAGUUGGUAAGGUAACGGCUUACCAAGGCGACGAUGCGUAGCCGACCUGAGAGGGUGAUCGGCCACACUGGAACUGAGACACGGUCCAGACUCCUACGGGAGGCAGCAGUAGGGAAUCUUCCGCAAUGGGCGAAAGCCUGACGGAGCAACGCCGCGUGAGUGAUGAAGGUCUUCGGAUCGUAAAACUCUGUUAUUAGGGAAGAACAAAUGUGUAAGUAACUAUGCACGUCUUGACGGUACCUAAUCAGAAAGCCACGGCUAACUACGUG
rnacentral:rRNA from 1 species